GUCUUAAUUACGCAAUACGUACUAUAUAUAAUACAAUUUUAACUUGAAUUAUUAAGGUUCAAGGCAAACGGACAAAAAUAUCCAUGUGUACACACCUUUAAACAUGUGAGGCAAAAUAAUGGGAAACAACAUAGUCACCCCAUAUACAAAUUUAUAGGGAAUUUCCAAACUAGAUUGAACCAGAAAAAGAUCGAGAAGUUUCGAUGUCAGAUAAGAUUUGUUAGAUUUGCAAGCAAAAGGAAGAUCUGCGCGAAAAAAGUGACUAGAAUAAAAAAAUUCUGGAAGAAUUAAAGAAUGAAACAAGAUGAAGGUAAAUAUUCAAACUCAUUCAUUCCGAUUGAAAUAAUCUGUAAAUGCAAUAACGAACUUUAAUGUCAUAUUAAAAGGUGACUCAUUCAAGACAUGUGAUUCAGGUGUGGUUAAAACUUUAACCUUUUAGGUAUUUUGUUUUUUAAUUAUUAUUUCAUAUUAUUUACUUCAAUGAAUUUUACAUUUUAUUGAUUUUUUCCCCCAUUCAAUCUUUAAAACUAUAGCGUGAUGAUUUUGAAAAUGAAAUUGUUGUACAUAUAUAUCGUAAGUUUAACUUAUAUAUAUGUACAACAAUUUCAUUUUAUAGUGGAAAUCCAAGAUCUAUAUAUAGUAAGUUUAACUUAUAUAUAGAUCUUGGAUUUCCACUAUAUUAUUAAUAGACUUUACUCAAUGUUUUUAGUCAUUUACUUUGCUACUGUAUGCGAUAUACAGAAAUGAAUGUUAAACAUGACAAGUAUAAGAUUUGUAAGUUGGUCUCCGGUAACCCUUUUUCUUUUCUACUAAAGAACAGAAAAAUGAGAAAACUGAUCCCAAAUACGUUAUUUAUUUGAAUUAUAUAUUAAUUCAUUAGGAUCGAAGGCAUACAUUCGUUGCUCCAAAGUGUUUCGUCUUAUUAGAUUCCAAUGACUAAAUAUCAUUCUGCAUUUUGGCCAAAAAAGUUGUUUAGAUUAAUUUUGUUAUAUUUUCCGACUCCUUUUUCAAAAAUGCUGGAAUUCUUUCAAUCGAACUCUUAACAUUAUAUUUAAAUCGACAGCAAAUAUAUUGGGUAUGGAAGAUUGAAAACGAAAUGUAGAUAUUAAUUGAGCGACCUAGUAGAUUGUUAUAUUUUAACUUACGUAAGCAACUUAAAAAUGUAUUAAUUUAUUAGAGUUAAUAUGACAAAUCCGUUUUUAAUAAAAAAAAAAAUCCCGCCUUUUAUACGUUUGAUUUGUACGAUAUCAUUUUAUUCCAUCUACUGUGAGAAGUCUCAUUCCAUCUAUCCUAGUCUAUAAAUUAAAUGUUAUAUACCUCGGAAUUUUCUUCAUUGAGUCUAUUACCCACAACAUACAGAGUUUAUGCCAACAAACAGUCUGACAAGAUUACCGGAUUUGCCUCGUGUUUCCGUGAAGUGACACUUUUUACUAGAUAUGAAAACAUAUUCAUCAAAGAUACCAGUACACUAGGCAUGCGUUUCGUUUAUUUAAAAAAUCACAAGUUGUUCUCCUAUCAAAGUUAUCAAUGACGGAGUUGAUGAGCACUGAAAACAAAAAGUUGCAAAAAAUGUUUGUCAAAACUUCAUAACAAACAUAAUAGCUGACCGAAUAAAGUACUACUGAUUAAAUAAAUGUAUUCAUGAUAUAACAACAGUGAAUUUUUGAAAUUACUGUUUUGUUGUCUAUCUCUUUUAGAAUCAGAAUAUAUCUCGCAUGUUCCUCCUCUUGUGCAUAUUACCAGUGUUAGGCCUGGCAAUGAACACGGAUAAACAAUGUCCAAAGAAUUACAUUGUGCGGUCAUCCUGGAAGAACAAAACUGAACAAGAUCAUUAUUGCUGUAAGAAGUUAGAGAAAAACUGUACAGCAGGUAGUUAACUCUUAUUUCCGUAAAUUUCAUUAAAAGUUUUUUUUUAUUAUAUCACAAGCUGUCAACGGACAUGUUUUUCAAUUGUUUUGGUUUAGCAUUAAUUGCCACAUACAUAUUAAUUUUUCAGAGAUAUUUGUUGUUAUUAGUUGGCAGUGAUAAACUAUACGGCAAUUUGCAAUUUCAGACGAGUUGUCUUUUACUUGACAUUCUUAAGCUUAGUAUCUUCGCGACAAGAUAUUAGACGAUUUAGUUAGGUUGAAUAAGUUUUAUUCUAUACUUUGUUUUUGUAACUUUGUAUUGUCGUGAAUAAUAACACAACUAUUUUUUUUCAUCAUUUGUUUUCUUCAAUUUUUGAUAAUAUGUCUUUUGUGUUUAAGGAUACUACGUGAAAACAUGCAUCACUGAUUUUGGUGAAGAUAAAUGUAUGAAGUGUAAAGGCUCUACAUGGUUAGCGGAUGAGACCAAUUCUGAUAGUGUCCACCCUUGCACUAAGUACGAUUCCUGUCCGAUCGGUAAGUUUAUACACACUUUCAUUUAUCAUGAUGAUAAAGUUAAGCCCACUAUUUUUUGUGUCUUUCUUGUUUCCUUCUGUAA
rnacentral:lncRNA from 1 species